UGAGAAUCUGCCUUCAGGUUCGGGACAACCAUCGGAAACGGUGGCUAAUACCGAAUGUGCAGAGAUGUGAAAUAUUUAUAGCCUGAAGAUGAGCUCGCGUCUGAUUAGCUAGUAGGUGUGGUAAGAGCGCACCUAGGCGACGAUCAGUAGCUGGUCUGAGAGGAUGAUCAGCCACACUGGGACUGAGACACGGCCCAGACUCCUACGGGAGGCAGCAGUGGGGAAUUUUCCGCAAUGGGCGAAAGCCUGACGGAGCAAUACCGCGUGAGGGAGGAAGGCUCUUGGGUUGUAAACCUCUUUUCUCAGGGAAGAAUUUAAUGACGGUACCUGAGGAAUAAGCAUCGGCUAACUCCGUGCCAGCAGCCGCGGUAAUACGGAGGAUGCAAGCGUUAUCCGGAAUGAUUGGGCGUAAAGCGUCCGCAGGUGGCUAUGUAAGUCUGCUGUUAAAUAGUGAGGCUCAACCUCAUAAAGGCAGUGGAAACUACAUGGCUAGAGUGCGUUCGGGGCAGAGGGAAUUCCUGGUGUAGCGGUGAAAUGCGUAGAGAUCAGGAAGAACACCGGUGGCGAAAGCGCUCUGCUAGGCCGCAACUGACACUGAGGGACGAAAGCUAGGGGAGCG
rnacentral:rRNA from 1 species